CAGGAUCAAACUCUACACAUCGUUUACGGCAUGGACUACGAGGGUAUCUAAUCCUCUUCGCUACCCAUGCUUUCGUUCCUCAGUGUCAGUAAUGAUCCAGAAAGCUGCCUUCGCAAUUGGUAUUCUUUCUAAUAUCUACGAAUUUCACCUCUACACUAGAAAUUCUGCUUUCCUCUAUCAUACUCUAGCUGAAAAGUUUUGAUGGCAGUUCCAGAGUUAAGCUCUGGGAUUUCACCACCAACUUUUUCAACCACCUACGAACUCUUUAAGCCCAGUAAUUCCGAACUACGCUAGGUCCCUUCGUAUUACCGCGGCUGCUGGCACGAAGUUAGCCGGACCUUCUUAUUCGGGUACAGUCAUUUUCUUCCCCGACGAAAGAGCUUUACAACCCAAAGGCCUUCUUCACUCACGCGGCAUCGCUGCAUCAGAGUUUCCUCCAUUGUGCAAGAUUCCCCACUGCUGCCUCCCGUAGGAGUUUGGGCCGUGUCUCAGUCCCAAUGUGGCUGAUCAUCCUCUCAAAUCAGCUAUUGAUCAUAGUCUUGGUAGGCCAUUACCCUACCAACAAACUAAUCAAGUGCGGGCUCAUCCAAUGGUGCAUAAAGCUUUCUCCGUAAAGACUUAUCCGGUAUUAGCACAAGUUUCCUCGUGUUAUUCCAGGCCAAAGGGUAGAUACCCACAUGUUACUCACCCGUCUGCCACUAAGUAUUGCUACUUCGUUCGACUUGCAUGUGUUAGGCGUGCCGCCAGCGUACGUUGUGAGCCAGGAUCAAACUCU
rnacentral:rRNA from 1 species